rnacentral:rRNA from 1 species
UAAUUAAUUUUUAAUUAUCUUUGAUUUUCCCGAAUUCAAAAGAGUUACUUUAAUAUUGAUUUUAUUGUAUCAAAAAUACUUAGAAUAUUAAGGUAGUAAUGAAACGUUAUUCGUUUUUGGAUAUAUCUGGUUUUUUAAGAAAAAAAUUAAAUUUACUUAAUUAAUAGGAAUUUUUUAAUUUUUAGGAAGUUCUUGUUUUUAUGUUAUGUUUAAAGGGAUGAGCUUUUAAACAAAAAUUUAUAAGGUUGUUAUAAAUUAAAAUAGUUAGGAUUAGAAAUUUUCAUUUUUAGAAGGAUGUUAUAAUUUAUUUUGUUAUUUUUAUUAUUUAUAUUGGUUCUUUAGUUGUUUUAUUAAAAAAAAAUUUUGAAUGAUUUAUGGUUUGGAAUAAUGAUUGAAUUAGUAUAUGUUGUUGUAUUUUUAAAUUGAAGAUUUAAGUUUAGGUUAAGGAAUUCGGCAAAAAAUUUUCUGCCUGUUUAUUAAAAACAUGGCCUUUUGAUUAUAAUUUAAGGUCUAGCCUGCCCACUGAGUACUUAAAUGGCCGCGGUACACU